AUUGAACGCUGGCGGCAGGCCUAACACAUGCAAGUCGAACGAGUGGCGGACGGGUGAGUAAUGUCUGGGAAACUGCCUGAUGGAGGGGGAUAACUACUGGAAACGGUAGCUAAUACCGCAUACCCUCAGAUGUGCCCAGAUGGGAGUAGCUAGUUGGGGGGGUAACGGCUAACCAAGGCGACGAUCCCUAGCUGGUCUGAGAGGGUGACCAGCAACACUGGAACUGAGAAACGGCCCAGACUCCUACGGGAGGCAGCAGUGGGGAAUAUUGCACAAUGGGGGCAAGCCUGAUGCAGCCAUGCCGCGUGUAGGAAGAAGGCCUUCGGGUUGUAAAGUACUUUCAUCGGGGAGGCGUUACCCGAAGAAGAAGCACCGGCUAACUCCGUGCCAGCCGCCGCGGUAAUUC
rnacentral:rRNA from 1 species